rnacentral:rRNA from 1 species
CCUACGGGAUGCAGCAGUGGGGAAUAUUGCACAAUGGGGGAAACCCUGAUGCAGCCAUGCCGCGUGUGUGAAGAAGGCCUUCGGGUUGUAAAGCACUUUCAGUAGGGAGGAAGGUAGUGUAGUUAACACCUGCAUUAUUUGACGUUACCUACAGAAGAAGCACCGGCUAACUCCGUGCCAGCAGCCGCGGUAAUACGGAGGGUGCGAGCGUUAAUCGGAAUUACUGGGCGUAAAGCGCAUGCAGGCGGCCUGUUAAGUCAGAUGUGAAAUCCCCGGGCUCAACCUGGGAACUGCAUUCGAAACUGGCAGGCUAGAGUCUUGUAGAGGGGGGUAGUAUUCCAGGUGUAGCGGUGAAAUGCGUAGAGAUCUGGAGGAAUACCGGUGGCGAAGGCGGCCCCCUGGACAAAGACUGACGCUCAGGUGCGAAAGCGUGGGGAGCAAACAGGAUUAGAUACCCUCGUAGUC